rnacentral:tRNA from 1 species
GUCACUUGUACAGCGUGUUCAGCUGGUGAUCGAUCUUGCCGAUCGCGGUCUUCAGCUCGCUCUCCGGGUGCGAGCCCUUGCGGAUGAUG